rnacentral:lncRNA from 1 species
UUUCCGAUCAUCUAUCCCUUUACAAAUUUUAUUUUUAUUCCGGAUUGUUAAUGCAAGACGACAGUUUGAAUCUUCAUUUACCUCUGCCUGAACACAGGAAGCCCUGAGUCUUUUGAAGCCGGGCAUCAAAGUUAAAGAUUCACUUCCCGCAUUCCCUAUGGCCCCCUCUUGCAGCUUAGCUCGGCUCUGAGCCCCCGAAACGCCGUUCGAGGCGGGGGCUUUCCUGCAAAGGGGCGACAGGUGGGCCAUCCCGAGGCGGGAACGAGCAAAAUUUUUCUACUAAGGAGGGGGCUGAAUUGGAGGGACUGCGCUAACAAAUCCUCUACUUGAAA